rnacentral:rRNA from 1 species
GAUGAACGCUGACAGAAUGCUUAACACAUCAGCCAUUGAUUGGUGGCGGACGGGUGAGUAACGCGUAAAGAACUUGCCUCACAGCUAGGGACAACAUUUAGAACUGAAUGCUAAUACAUGAUACUGUGAGAGAGCUUUGCGUCCCCUUAGCUAGUUAGAGAGGUAACAGCUCACCAAGGCGAUGAUGGGUAGCCGGCCUGAGCGGGUGAACGGCCACAAGGGGACUGAGACACGGCCCUUACUCCGACGGGAGUCAGCAGUGGGGAAUAUGGGACAAUGGACCGAAGUCUGAUCCAGCAAUUCUGUGUGAACGAUGAAGUUUUCGGAAUGUAAAGUGCUUUCAGUUGGGAAGCGGUACCAACAGAAGAAGUGACGGCUAAAUACGUGCCAGCAGCCGCGGUAAUUC